UUAAGGGCAUACGGGGGAUGCCUUGGCCACCAGGAGCCGAUAGAAGGACGUAGGAGCCUGCGAUAAGCCUCGGGAGUUGGAGUUGCAACCGAACGGUGAUCGAGGGAUUUCCGAAUGGUGUUUUGAAACCCCGCUGGAGUGCAUGGCCAGUGGACCGCAUCUGAACACAUAGGGUGCGUGGAGGGAACGUGGGGAAGUGAAACAUCUCAGUACCCACAGGAAGAGAAAGCAACCGCGAUUCCCUGAGUAUGGCGAGCGCGGAGCGGAAGAGGCUAAACCGGUCAUGUGUGAUAGGCUAGGGCGUUGCAUUGCUCGGGGUCGUGGGACCUUGCGAUAGAGGCUAGCACCGGUCAAGGAGUAAGAAAGUCGCGUCAUAGGCGAGGGCCAUUGAAACGGCCGGCACAGAGGGUGGAAACCCCCGUAGACGAAAUGGCGUGGCCUCCUGUGAGGAUCCCAAGUAGCACGGGGCCCGAGAAAGAAAUCCGGUGAAUCGGGGGAACCACCCCUAAGCCUGAAUACUCCCUGGGACGACGAUAGCGCGAACAGUACCGUGAGGGAAUGGUGAAAAGUACCCCCCACCCCCCCCCACGGGAGGGGAUGAAAUAGUACCUGAAACGGUGCCUACAAUCCGUCGGAGCCUCCGGGGUGGGUUGACGGGUGCUUUGAAGAAGAGCCUGGAGUUAGUGGUACGUGGCGAGGUUAACCCGUGUGGGGAAGCCGUAGCGAAAGCGAGCAGAACGAGGGCGAAGUGAGUCGGUGCUCUAGACCCGAAGCGAAGUGAUGCUACCCAUGGGCAGGUUGAAGCGCGGGUAGACAGCUAGCGUGAAGGACCGACCCCACCGGGUUGAAAAACCUGGGGAUGACCUGUGGGUAGGGUUGUGGAAGGCCAUCAAACUUAGUGUGAUAGCUGGUUCUCCCCGAAAUGAUUAGUGCAGGUCACGUGUGUUUCUUGCGGAGGUAGAGUAUCUGGAUGGCCGAUGGGCCCCAAAGGUUACUGACGUCAGCCAAAACUCCGAAUGCCGGUAAGUGAGAGCGUGGCAGUGAGACAGCGGGGGAUAAUAUAAGCUCGUAGUCGAGAGGGAAAAGACACCAGACCACCAGCUAAGGCCCAAGCGUGUGAUAAGUGGAAAGGAGGAAAGAGUGGGUGGGCACAAGACAACCAGGAGGUGGUCUUAGAAGAAGCACCGUGAAAAGAGUGCCCGUUUAAUAGCCUCAUGGUCAAGGUGAUUCCGCGACGACAAUGUAGUCGGGGCUCAGCACACCGCCGAGCUGUGGCAUCACACAUCGAUAAGCCUUAGUGGUUCAGCGUGUGGAGGUUAGGGGAGCGUCGUGGGGACGGUUGAAGCGGCGGAGUGAUCCAGUCGUUGGACGUAAAACGAGUAGAGAAUGCAGGCAUGAGUAAGCGAAAGAAGGGUGAGAAUCCCGUUCGCCGAAUGACAGGGUUCCAGGGCAAGGGCCUCAUUCCGCCCUGGGUAAGUGGGACAUAAGGCCGAGCCGACAGGCGUAGUCGAGGACAAAGGGUUGAUAUCCCGUUACCGGCGAAGAAACCGCCCAUACGAGCCCGGGGAUGCUAAGGGCCCAAAGCCAGUGAGCGUCUUCGGAAUGGAUUGGUUGAGCGCAUGACCCGAUCCGGUAGUAGGUAAGCGCAUUAACCAGGGUGCGCAGGAAGGUAAGCCACCGCGUGGCGAUGGCAGUCCAAGUCAAGGGGUAGGGCGCAGGUUGUAGGCCAAAUCCGCACCUAUCACUCAAUUGUGGAGUAUGAGACCUGAUGGUGACCGCGUAGCGGCAAGCAGGGUGAUCUAAUGUGCCUAGAAAAGCCGCGGGCGUGGGUUCAAGCCGCCCGUACCCCAAAACCGACUCAGGGCAGGUAGAGAUACCAAGGCGGAGAGAGAAUCGUGUAAGAACUCGGCAAAAAUGCCCCCAGUAAUUGGGAGAAGGGGGCCCUAGCGUUGAAUGAAACCCUUGCGGUUAGGCGCGAGGCACCGCAGAGACCGGGAAGAAGCGACUGUUUACUAAAAACACAGGUUUUCCGGCGAAGUCGAAAGACGAUGUAUACGGACUGACGCCUGCCGGUGCUGGAACGUUUGGAACGUUAAGGGACGGGUCAGCUCAUCGGAAGCGAAGUAUACUCAAGAACUUAAGCGCCAGUAAAGGCGCCGGUUGGUAAUAUAACCAUCCUAGAGGUAGCGAAAUUCUGGUCGGGUAGUUCCGACCUGCACACGAAUGGCGCGUAACGACUUCUACGCUGUCUCAACCGCGAACUCUGGCGAAAUUGCCACUAAGAAGUAAGAUGCUCGUUACGCGCAGCAGGACGGAAAAAGACCCGGACCUUAACUAUAGCUGGGUAUGGUGUUCGGUACGGCUUGUGUAGGAUAGGGGGAGACUGUGAGUUCGCACGCCAAGUGUCGGUGGAGUUCCUCGUUGAAAUACCACUCUGUCGUUCUGGACAUCUACUUCGGCCGUGAUCCGAUCAGGGAAGUGCCUGGUGGUAGUUUAAAUGGGCGGUUGCCUCCUAAAGAGUAACGGAGCCGCUCAAAGGUUACCUCAUCUGGUUGGCAAUCAGGUUCGGUGUAAGUGCCAAAGGGCUGGGACGGCGAGAACUGACAGGGUCGAGCAGGGACGAAAGUAGGAACUAGUUGAUCCGGCCGGUGGUUUGUGGAAAACGCGGGUUUCGGCUUCAAAAAAAAAAAAAACGGAUAAAAGGUACCCCGGGGAUAACGGAUGAUCUUAUUGCCCAAGAGUCCAUGCGACGGAUGGUGGCACCAGAUGUCGGCUCGUCGAUCAUGGGGUGGAGUAGGUCCCAAGGGUGGGCGUGUUCGCCCAUUAAAGCGGUACGCGAGUGGGUUUAGAACGUCGUGAGACAGUUCGGUCUCAUAUCACGCUGCGGCGGCGUGGGAGGACUUGAGAAGGCUUGUCAAUAGUACGAGAGGACGGGACGGACGAACCUCUGGUGGUUGUGUGCCAGUGUUCGCCAGGGCACGGCUGGUUGGAAGUUCGGGAGGGAUAACCGCUGAAAGCAUCUAACGGGAAGCCUGCUUCAGAUGAGGUCUCCAUGGACUUCGAGUCCGAGAGCUCCCAGCUUGAUACUAUUUGGGUUGUUAGGGCCGGAUGUGGACGACCAGUAAUGGUUGCAGCUCUGACCGGGAAUAAAUAAGCCGAUGACUGUCUACA
rnacentral:rRNA from 1 species